GUCAUGACAUGAUUCAUAUUAACAGAGGGGAUAUCAUAGAAGAAUCAGAAGACUUACACGGGUUGUACAGGUAAGCUGUAUCUCAGUUUUCCUUCUCUUCUCUAUCCCUCCUUGUUAACUAUGUGAAAACUGGCUUCCCUAGAAAAGAGUUGCUCCUUCAGCAAACUGCUAUAACUAUACUGACAGUGAUGAUAGUCAUAAUGCACUUUGGCCUAUACAUCUUUGAUGAAUUCGUCAAUGCAAAUGUGACUGUUUAAAACAACUUUGCUAUCUACUGUAAGACAUCUAUAGCAUUACUAAAAAUUAUUUCCCUAGCCAGCUUUAUUUAUUUUAAUGUAGAGCUUGUUUGAAAACUCAGAAAAUGUACAGAAGAUCUGUUCUGUGAAUUCAAUGGUAGAGAAGAAUGACCAGUGCAGUUGUCUGCACUCUGUCGAGCUUUGGAAGAGGAUUAGCAGCAAAUGCAUCUGAAGAACUAUUUCAGCAGAAAGCUAAGAAAGUGAGUAGAAGAAUAGUCUUUCCAAAGUUUGGAAACUUUAUGUUCUUAUCUAUCAAAAAUAAAUUAAAAAAAAAAACAAAAACAAAAACAACAAACCACCAAUAAAAAAACCCUCGGCUCUAAAACUCAAAAAACAAGAAACCAGUUAAUGGGAAAAAUAACAUUUUUUUUUUUACUUGGCAAAGUCCCUCAGCAAAACAACAGAAAACCAUCUUUCUUCAAAAAGAAUCCAGGCAUUCUGCAGACACGAUGUGCUAGGCUUACAAAUAUUGCCAUUCUUAGAGCAUUAAAGAUAAUGUAAAAGAUUUUUGUAAAUGUCAGAUUAACCAAGUAGAUUUCUGGGCCAGAGAUAACCCAGUAAAUAUGCAUUUUUUUUCACCAUCCUGUCCUCUUAUUGCUCAUUUGUUUCUGUUGCACCACAACAUUUAAAAGAAAUCACAGGAAUUUUGAAGGUAUGUUUAAUGCCACUGCUUCUUGAACAGCAUUGCUCAGGAGUGCUAGGCCUAAUGAAUCUCAGGGUUUGUAAAGUAGCUGGCCAUCAUUUUCACUGAUAGAAUGCUGCAGUUUUUUUCCGGGUUUCAGUAAAGUUCAUUUUCCACCAAGCAGGGUUUGCGUUGGAAGCUUAGUUGCAAGUUUAGCUAAAGAAAGACACCAUCCACCCACCUGUCUGUCCAUCCAUAAUCACAAAUUAUAAACAUUAAUAUAGUUUUUUAGCACACAUUUUCUAGAAUAGCCACCAUUUCUUAAUAGGUUUUGAACAGUUCCUGUUUAUUUCACGUGGAAUAGCAUUACCCAGUUGUGUCCUUACCUGAAGUAGGCUGACGCUACAUAAAACUGCUUAGAUUUCUACAAAGGCUCUCAUUCAGCCUUUUUUAUUUUCUGUGAGUGAUUCAACUGGUGGAACUGGCCUAAAUGAUUAUAGGCAAGCGCAUGUAGGCAAGCACAUGUAACUCUUCCAUGGUGCUAGAAGCCAUUGCAAAGUUAUUUGUAGUGUACGUAUGCAAAUCAACUUCAGUUUGAGAUAGUAGGGGAGAAGUUGGAGGGGGAUUUCCCUGCUUUAUGUAAUCUGUUGUUGCUCGUUAGCUUCCUCUAUUCACAUGGCCAGGAGGCACAGGCAUGACACCACCGGUAAUUUCUCAAACUCAAUCUGAAAGCAAAGACAAUGCGCUCCGUGACCUUCAGCAGCCUCGCAGCUUUCGGUAAAUCCUCCAGCUCUGGCUCAAUGAUAUCCGGAAUAAAGGUGGCCCGGAGGAGAAGUGGGGGAACGACUCCUCUGGUAAGGGCUUCACUCACUUACUGGCAUGCUUCAAAAGUGGGUGACAGUAUAUGACUCUGCCUGCUGCUUCUCUAACUUCCAUUUCUUGAGCCAUACAACGUGCUGCACUGGGCACAGGAUCCGUGUCACCAGUUCAGUGUGGGAUCAGCUUGGCACAGUUCUGAAACCAGGUUGCCAGCCACACUGAAGUAGCUUGUCACCGUCAUCCCCAAGAGGGGGCUGGGAAAAGACAAGUCUCGUGUGCUCAGGCACAUCUAGCUGAGACACUUGUGGCACGGACAAGCUGGGGAGGCAGAGACCCUAGGGCAUGUCCUCAGGGAGGUGUAAUGCCGUGGCUGCAAGCAGCCCAUGGGGCGCUAUGCUGCUGAGGGCAGCUGAGGCCCAGAUGAGCAGUGCUGUGCCAGCCUGGGUAUCAGUCUCUACACAGUACUCUGUGCUGAACUGAUUGCGGUGUUACUGUCCCAUGUGAGAAGAUUUAUAAUUCAGUACCUAUCCAGAUUCUGAGAAAUGGGCUUACCAAAAACCGCUGCUAAGGGAAAUACAACAGGUGAAGUAAGCAUGGUGGCACUGAGGAGGAAGGAAAUCUCUCUGCAGCGCACUGAUAACAGCAUGCUUGUUAUACACUGCGUUCAGUUUGGACAAUCUGCAAACAGGAAAACAUAGGCUAGCUGAAGGAAACUCAGCUCGGAGGCCCUAGGGACUGAAUCAGUCUGUUAAAGUGCUUUGUUGGUUUUAUGUAUCAGUACUUAAUUAGGAUGCUUAACAAACACAUCAGAAAGAUAGUAACUGUUAAAUAUUCAGCAGGAUGAGUUUUCAGUUCCAGUUCUGAAUAAAGUUCUCAGAAAGCUUGUUUUAGGUACUCCAACAACACCAGAGGAAUUGGAUUGGACCGAAAAAAAAAUAUAUAUAUAUAUAUCAAAAAAAGUAGGGCACUAUGAUUGUAGAGACCUGGCUAAAAACCCAGGUCUUGCCACCGGCUCGCUGAAUGAUGUUUCCUGCUCUGUGCUUAGUUCUCCCAUCUAUAAAAAGAGAGCAGUCAUACUGGCAGUCCUGGUAAGCCUCUGAGAUGAGUGAAGAGAAAAGCCAUAAUUUAUUUAUAACUUACUCUUAUUUCUGAGGAAGGAAGAGCAAAGACAAGAAACCAUCAAGCUUUCAGGUUUUUCUUGAUUAUCAUAAAAAAGAAAAAAAGCACCAUGGAACAUGAAUUUCACACAACAGAAAAGUUUAGCGAGUCACCUUUACGGAGAAAGAAACUAAACUGAACUAAACUAAAGAAAAUUACAAGCAGGCAGACAGUCAGGAAAACACUCCAGAUGGUGGAGUGAGUUAGGCUGCAAAACUGGCUCCCACAGGAAGCGGUGAAACCCCCAUUGUUUGAGAUAUUUGAAACGGAAUUCUUCAAAGUCCUGGUAUAUAUAAUACAAGGAACUGCUCUGCGCUGCCUCAGACAGGUAAUGGCUCUGGGACAAUCCGUAAAGAGCGACACACCAUUUCUGCAGCCUUUAGGAGAAUUCUUGCUGCUGUGACUACGAGGAGCUGUAGGCUCUCUUUUUUAUCAGUAUAUUGUUUGAGCAAUAACCAUAGGGGUGUAACUACACAGUGGUUUUGCAGGAGAUGGAUUCAGUAACCCUUAACAGAUCUUCCUCAUUCCUACUUUGAGAUCUGAAGUUUGUAUAUCCAAGAGGGGAAAAAUUGACACCUAUUCUCUGUCUAAUGAUUAUGGUGUGCAUCCUACUAUUCAGGACUAUUUAUUUCCCAUAUUAAAAUCUAAUGAAAAGCUGGGUGGCUUGAUUUUUACAAGCGGUGGUUUGCAGAAGAAAGACUGUGAUUUUAAUAGGAACCAAAUGAGAGCUCAUUACGUAAGCGGCAUUAUGAGACGCAGAACUGAUGUUGCAAUGCUAAAUGCUCUAGGUCAAACUCACCAAAAUGGGAACUGGCAGCAGCUUGCUGGAAUGCUGGGGUUUCUCCACACUCGAAUACUACUGCAAACAUUUCCCGCUGCUGCUAAUGCUGGUUCAGCUCCUCUGGAGGUAGCUGUGGAGGGAGCUCAACUGCUUCUGUUGUUACUGGCACUUAAAAUCUCUAGACCUUCUCUGAAACACACAUUCAGAGCUUUGGUCCAGUUUUAUUGAUACAACUUGGUUUACUGGUUGGAGCAGGUAGAGGAAGGGAAAUUUUUAAAAGGAACUUAGAAAUUGGAGGUUUAAUGCCUUCAUUUCCUCUUGGUCUCAUACCUGCUGGUAUAUAAAGAAAGAGGCAAAUUGAUUCAGAUGGCAGAAGCACACUGGUGACCCUGCCUUAUUUUGUUCACUUUGGCUCUGUACAGACUUUCCUCACAGGCUCUCUGCCUUCAAAACUUAGACCUUCAGGGUGACCCAAACAUGUCAGUCCUUGAGUCCGCCUUCCUGUGGUGUGGGGAGGGACAGGGAGCUGAAAGACCUGCCCAGGGGCAGGACAAGUGAUGCUUCCAAACACUGGGCUCUGCAAGGCCUCGGGUGCCGCAGCACACUGCACGUGAAGGCUGGCACUGUCUCUGUGCUGCUGCUGUCCCAGCCAGAAUGUGGCAAUUUCCUUAGGAAUGAAUCACUAACAGAAAACAAACAAGAGCUAUUUGAGAAGUUUCUCCUUCCCUCUAAAUGUCCUGUCCAGUAUCAUAUUCCUGACAGUUUAUUCUACAAGAAUUUAGUCAUCUAAGGUUUCAGUGACUCAUCUGAUGAACCUUCUACCCAUUUCCUGGAAAGAGUCCUAUGCAGUCUCAGUCUCAUUCUGCUUACAUUUUCAUAUAUUCCAACUUUCCACCAUUUUAGGGGUGGGAGAGAGGCAAAAAUAUUUUGAAUGCACACAAUGUGCAGAGUAACUGGAAAACAGAGUGUUGAAAGAAACAUCUGGAAAACAAAGAUGGGCAUCGAAUCACAGAGUCUCUUUUGGAAGUAGCUGCCUCUUGGACUGACAGCUGGAUAGAAGAAAAGGAGCUGCUGUUAUAAGAGCUGUGUGGUACAAUACGGCCAUGAAUUUGCCAGGGUUGUGCCCUAUAAAAUGAAGAUGAAAACACAUCAUUGCAUGGGUGUGACUCACUCUGGGCAAUUGCUACUGAUGACAAGUACUCUGACACAAACCGUUGAAUGAAUUGGGCUGGAUGGGAACCAAAGCAGACAUUUUACAUAUUUGGGCCAAUCUGAAAGACACUUCUGUGCAGAAAACAACUGCUUCCUUUCAUGAUGUAGUGGAAAUGCUAAAUCAUGGCUUGAAAUGGUGAGUGAGCACCUGGUGGGAAGACAGAGCCAAUCCAAUGGAGCUCAGGUGCAUGCAAUGCACCUGAGUGAUCAGAAGGGGUGGAGCCAGGACUUCAUUUAAGGGUUGGCAGUAGAGGCAAGGGUAUCUUGCUGGUGAUCCCUGCCUCCUGGAGACCUUUCAAAGGUAACCAAAGGUGGGCCUGGGCCUGGAUCUCUCCUGAACUUGAUGGGAAAAGGAUCUGUGUAUCCAAGCUUCACUUUCUCCCUACCAUGCAACAAAAACCCAAGUCCCUUCUCAUUUUGCUGUGCCAAUCUGUGUGGGAACUGCUGAGUCACGGCCUGAACCUCUGAUUGAUCACCUGAGGCGAGCCAUGAGUCAGCCAGAGGAGCACAGCUGAAGGCAAUUCACCUGUGCUGCAGGAAGGGGUGGAGCCUGGCUGCACCUCUCCUAGACCUAUUUAAGAGCUGACUGCCAGUGGGGAAGGAUCUUUUCUGGAGGUUGCCUCUACUGGUGUUUUGUGGGUGAGCCCAGGAUAAGGGUAAGCCUUCUAUUUUUUCUCUUUUGUUAUCAUAGUCUACUUUGCCUAAAUCUCUUGUUUAGUUUGUGAUUAUAACAUCCUAAUAUUCUUUGAUUAUAUACAAUCAUACUGCAUUCCUUCGUCUUCAUUCUGAUCAUGGUGGAACAGCAGGCAGAUACUUCCAAAAAAAUCCAGCAAAAUUAAAAACUUGCAAUGAAAAUUGUUCCUAUGUGUGCAUCCUGCCCAUGUUCAGGAACUGUUAAUGUUCCAUUUCUCUCUUCCUGGCCAACAAAUGGCUGCCAAUAUUCAUGUGGCAUUAAUGUGGCUUAAACAGUCAGUGUACUUUAGCCAUUAGUUAGGAUAUUCUAUGCACUGUUUUGUGGUGCAUGAGCAUCUCUUUCAGGGCCCCUCCUGCCUUCACUUUCUACUGUGAUGCUCUCCUGCCUCUGCAGAAACAACAAACCUACACACCAACAGUUGCAAGUCUUCUGGAACAAUUUGGUAACUUGUUUUAUUCCUUUUUGUUGAAGCCUGCAAAAAAUGUCUGAAGUGACUGUGUAAUCUCAUAGGUAAAUAGGACCACUUUUGGUCUUGUACAGUACAGCUGAAAAUAGACAUCACAUAUAUAGACGUCUAUAUUAAGUAUGUGUUGACUGCCUAAGGCAGCUUCACCCCAAAUCAAAUGCCACUGUGUCAUGCAAUGGCUGCACAGCCUCCCAUCUUUUGUUUCCUCAUCUGUAAUACCCAGCCAUCCAAAGGGUAUACUGAGAGUUUAGUGGCAUUUCAGAAGACUUGAGAUUCUUGGAAGAACAAUCUAGUAUGUACAGAGAGCAGCUGAUAUUAUUUCUUCCUUUUUUAGUGAUGUCCCUCUGCUGCUGAUAUUGUGCUCUCACAUUCCUGAGCUAAGCUUGUUUGAGGGACUUGAUUUUGGUUGGGCUUCAAAUCUGUUUUGUUCCUGAGAAAGGAUGCUGGAAUACACCUUUAAGCACAGUAAAUCUCAAGUGCUUGGAAGCCUUGCAUUCAAGGUCCCUGCAAACUGCCUUCACUUGACCUUCUUCAUCUUCCUUAAUAUACUCAAACAAGGAAAGCUAGAACAGUUCAAUACAAGUAUGUUCUGCUCACCCUGUAGCCUUGUGCAAUCUGAAUGAACUAGUACAGAUUAAAAGGUUUGGUUUAUGGCCAAAAAUGUGCAAUUAGAUACCCACAUGACUCCAGUUUUUGACCAUGAUUCCAGGUAUAGUCCCGAAUUUGAAUAUAGAUUCUAGCUCCAGGACCAGAGCUCUAUGUAGACUAUGUGCACAGACACACCUGCUAGAGGUCUCGUAAAUACAAUCAUCUCUUUGUUUCUCCACCUAUAAAACUUGGAUUGUAAUAGAGGUGUUUAGAGAGGUUCACUUCUAGAAGUUUUUACAAAGGUUAAAUGUUGCUUGUUUCAAUCUUGUUCCAUCAUGAAGAAGUCCUGUAAUGUUUCCAUUCUCUGUUUAAGAGUUCUUCACUUGCAGUCUUUACGUUAUUUAAUUAAAUUGUACCAGGCUGUUUCACAAGCUGGCCUCUCUUAUGACUUUUUGCAGUUACAGAGUGAUGGAAGAUGGGUUUUUAGAGAACAAGUAACAGGGGGAAUUGCUGGCAAAAGGUUUCAGUUCCCCGUCUGUGCUCUCUAAGCAGCUCUGUCUGCAAUAGCUCUUCUUUUGUGUUGUAUCCUUGGCAGAACAAUUCCCGUUCAAAAAGCAUCAGCAAGUGCUAGAAGCACACCCAGGUUAGGUGCUCAAGCACAUUCUCUGGAGCUCUCGAAUUUCCCUUUCUACAGGCUGGACUCAACUUGGUGAUGCCAUUGGGAAUGGAUGAGUGGGAGAAAAACAUUAUCAAUAAUAGUGGGUAAUACAAAUGACCACUUACGUUAAGAUGACACCAUCUUAACGUAAGUGGUCAUUUGUAUUACCCGCUGUAAUUGGUAAUUGAUCCAUGGUCCAGGCUUGGUCCAUGGCUUUCCAUGAGAACAUAGUGCUUAAAAGCAUCUCCUGGGUAGGGCAAAGCCUUCAGGACAGAAGAGCUGAAAUAAUCCCUGGGGACCCAGGAUGAGGGCACCAGAAAAGCUCCAUACCUGCAGGGCAGCGGAGGAUCCUGCUGGCUGCAGGAAUGGAACUGGGGCCUAUGGAGGCCUCAGUGCAGGAGACUGAGGGACUCCUGUCCCUCCUGUGGUUGUGUGGAGCUCAGCUGGGGGAGUGGGCUCAUUAUGCUUGCUGUGCUGUCAGCUGGUCCCUUUGGAAGUCAUGCCUGGGCUGCUCUGAGAGACGGCAGCUCCCUUCAACACACACAGUCACACAUAGCUAAUGGAACUGCAAUGGAUUAUUGCAGCAAUUUAGGAAAAAAAAGGAAAGUGUGUAUUGCCAGGUUGAAUAAAAUGUAAGGCUUGACGUGGGCAGAGAUCCUGCCAGCUGAAGUGUUUGCACCUGGUCUUACUGGAAAUCCAUGGGGCAGAAGAUUCUUGCUGAAGUAUUUGCAUUGCCAUCAGCAUGGCAGCGACUCGCCUGCAUGUACUCAGACACCCAGGAGGCCAGGGCUCAGGGCUCUUUGAGGAGGUCAGUUUUUAUAUAGUAAAACAAAUAGUUUAGCUAAUCAAGGAUAUAUAUAUUUUUUUCUUUUCUGAGGCUCUUGGCAUCCAGCCCUGUUACUUCCAAUCUUUAAUUUGUACUGUGGCUUCCUUUUCCCUGCUGCCUUCUCACUCACUCCAAUUUUCCCACACACUAGUUUCCUAACUCUACCUCCUAUGGAGGUCGUCAUUUAUUUCAUACCCAAAUUUAUCUCGUCCUACACAACGCUGCUGUUACCUCACCACUUAUUCCUGUAAAAGACUGUCACUGGAUAUUCAUGAGAUUGACAAGUUUAUGAAAAAACAAUGAAGCCAUUUUUUCAAAGAUAGGAAAUGGUUACAAAGGUAGUUGUAAAUUUAAUUCAUAUGCACUUGUAUAAAUUGACUGUAUAUCAAUUUGGACCUUCUUUUUGGUUAUAUAGCUGUCUGAAUGGCAACACUAGAUUUUCAGUUUUUUUUUCUUUAAGUAUCUGUGUGUGUCUCUGGUAGAGAUGGGAUGCAAGCUCUGCACCUGGUCACAACAUUGCCGUGGAAAAGCCUGUUACCAUAAAGCUUCCACAAUAAGGGAGAAGAUUCUGACAAAACAAAGUCGCAUUUUGGAAGAUUCUUCCACAGACUUUCCUUCAGCUAAAAAAAUGCUCACGCGAACAUGUGAGAGAUAAAGGCUCUUUUUCUCGUUACCACAGCUAAGCAGCCACACAACAUUUGCCUGCACCGCAGUCUGGCUUGCUCAAGAACUGAUAAUGAGAUGCACAGGAACAUGGGUCAGAAAUGACCCUUCUGAUCACCAGGUUCUGUCCCAGAAAAUCUCCCUUUAACAACCUUCCCUAAAAAAGCUACACAGAAUCCAAAGUAUUCCUUCAGUCUGUAUACACCCUAAAAGCUGCAAAACACCAACGUCUUGUAACAAAUGCACAGCCUGUGAGGUAGGUGUAGUUUCACCUGUUUUCAGGUAAUGGUAAAUGCUUGUUCUUCUCUUUCCCUGUAGUUAUUUCCAAUCUCUGCCUCUGAAUGCAGCCCAACUUGGCAUGGCAGCACUUUUCAAGCUGUGAAGCAAGGUGAGAACAGCUAAUGAAGACUGACACACAUUCCACGUCUUUUCUCCCUAGCUAUUCCUCGUAGCCACUUACAUGCAAGCACACAACAGUUUUAAUGAACUGAAGUGAAGCAGGGGCUAAAGACGCUGGGAGGCAGUGGGUAGCAUGCAGUGUCUGGCCUGUGUGCAGACCUUCUGCAGGAUAUUCGGUCACGGCUCAAGUCCCACAGGCAGCAUAUGAUGGCUGUUAUUGUUCUCUGGCAAAGAAGUCCCUCCGACUGAAAGCAGCCACACACUGUAAAGCUGAUCCUGCCAAGAUGCACACUGUAUUUGCUCUAUGAGGCAGCUGGGCCAGUACUUUUCAUUAAUUUCAGAAUCCACCACUGACGAAAACACAGCUCUUUAUAAGGUGGGACGUGUUUUAAAGGAAAAGUUGGGGCAGAUUCAACUGGUAUAAAGCUGCAUAGCUUUAUUAAAGACCAGGGGGUGUUGCUGAUUUAUACCAGCUGAGAAGUUGGCUAACAUUUUUUUGGAGCCAUCACCUCUCUCAUUUGCAAUUGCCAGCUGAAAAGCUGGGAGAUGCAAGGAGAAAUGAAAAAUGGAGCACAUUUAUGUGAAAAAGCUUCUAUGCAAAACAAAUGUCUGCUCACUGCACAUAAGCUGAAAUAAUACAGCCGUUAUUGGAGCUGUGCUACAAUAAAAUAAGCUGGAUGAGUCAACCAGCAGUGCAUCUAAUCUCCACUGGCUGCCUUUCCGGUCCCCAAGCUCCUCAUCUAUUUUUAUCUCUUCUUUUUUUUUUAAUAUACUUUUUGGUUUAGAAGCAAUAAAUCUACAGAUUUUGGGUCCCCUGUGUGCACUCUUGCCAGCAGGCUGCUCAGCAAUCAGGACGUUACCCAGACCACUACGGCUAUUAGGCCAUGGAACAGGGAGGCUAGGAAGCAGAUUCAAGAGACACUGUGUGCAGAGAGCAGGGAAGUGCUACUGAUGGUGUAGGGCAUGGCAGACCCUUCUGCACUGAAGGCAAUACUCAGCAAGCAGAUCAGCAUGCUGUGUUCUUCAGGUGGCGCAGCCGUGCCACUUCAGCUUGUGAGAGUAUAGCAAAACAUGCUCUACUGACAGAUGUGCAACAGUGCGAAUGCCUGGGAUGAGCACAUCCCAGAUUUGGUUGUUUCCAAACCUGUAGGAACACAGCUUUGAUCCAGUGCUCUAGCCAAACCCCAUGACAUGGUGUAGGGCACAUCCAGACAGAAUAACAUGAUGUGCUCAAUGGUCCUGCUGUGAACUGUAGAAGAGCUAACACUAAAAUGGCACGGACAGUCAGAGCCUGCUUCUGUGCCUGUAUAAAAACAACGUAAUUCCUUUUAUUUUUUUUUUGUGGGGGGAGAUUUUUAGUUAAGCUAAACAUGUCUGGUCCAUCUUUGGAUGCUAACUAUGACAGGGUGUAAUUUAAUUUCAGAAUCACUGGGCAGGUGACGGGAAGAACUUUCAUGAUGCCAAGUUUUAGUGUUGUUUGCUGGCUCGGUGUGGUAGCACACUCUUGAGAAAAGUGUGGGUGCAAUUUUGGAAUCGCAGUGUUCCUGCUUCUUUUUUCUCUGGUAACCAAAUUAAGAUCUUAGCAAUUAAGCUUUUAUUUUUCUACUUUUUCCUCUGCUCUCUGUGUUUGUGAUUUCCUUACAAACAACAAUCCAACUAGUCACCUCGAGCUCAUACAUGCUGAGAAACAUCUGUCAAUUGAAUAUUAAGAUAGCCUAAGUUUUAUAAUGGAAAGAAACUGCUGGGAUAUUAUGCUAGAAUACAGCAUUCUCUUUCAUUCCAAGAGUACGUGCUUCAGGGAGCAAGGGAGAAGAGUGUUUGAAUUUAAUUUCAGACAUUACUUUUUAGGUGCCCCCAAGGGACAUACCCAUUUCCUAUAUAAGGUUUGGUCUGUUUGCAAUUAAGCUCUCCUCUUUGCAUAUUUCCGGAUAGAUUAAAAAUAGCAAAAUCAGCUUAUUCUUGGACUUCUGGAGAUAAACAAAGCAUUGCUUCCAGGGGUUUAAAAACACUGAUCAGGUUUACAGAUCUUGAAGGCAGAAUUUGUCCACAGAUUUUUUUAUGCUGGAUAAACAACAAUUUCCAAAGGUGACAGAAAAGGUAGGAACACACUUCUAGAACUGGAGACCUUUAAAACUAAGUAACUUUUGCAGCCUUCAUUUUUACGUAAAAUUUCCGUUGAUAGGAAGUUGAAUACAUUUUUAAUGCAGAAAGCUCAAGACCCAUUCAGUCUGCCCCUACCACUCUCCCAACCAAUGGAUCAAUUCCAGAACUGAGAGGCUUGCUGAGCUCCCAUUACAGUUCUCCUCUUAUGCUUUUUCUAUUGGGAUUACUAUCAUCAAUCCAUUUAAUCCAAAAUGUAAAGCUGCUUUUUGUGAUGCAGCCAUCCAUUCUCAAGGACCUUGACAGAAACAACUCAUUUAUAACGGUGCCUAAAUUGUUAUCAGAUGGGAACUAUUCCCAUGCACCCUUAGCACCUUGAGGCUGGAUACAUGAUAAUGAUCUAUACCUGAUCAUUUCUUCCUUGCUAUUCAGCUCUCUGCUCAUUUGGAGAAAUUACCUAGAACAAACAGGAGACAUUUUCCAAAGCAGAAUUGAUGAUUAUGUUGUGAAUUUAAGUUUCCUGAAAAUGUUUUUGCUGUUUCCAGUUAUCUUUUGCAGAUUCCUCAGCAGUCAGUGCACCCUGAUGGAUCCACAGACAAUGGAAUUAAAGUCACUGAUAUAAUGGUUUUAAUGUUAGUUAUUCUUCAGCGCCUGUUAGGCAUUUGCUUUCAGUGUACUUCAUUUCCCCCAACAAAAAUGUUGAUGGAUAUUGAAACUGACAAUUCAGGAGGGAGAAAAGAUUACAGCACUUCAAUAUCCAAGCAAACAAAUGGACACAUUUAUUGUUCAGAAGUACAUUCCUUGGAAGAUUUACAGAACCGUUAGUAGAGGAUAGGAAAAAAGCACAGUUGAACAAGAUACAAAUGAAGUGGCCUAAACCAUCAGGCUGUGCUUUGUUUCCCCUCUACACAAAGCAGUGUAAUAGCACGGUAGAAAGACCAGUGGCCCAUCCUAUAUCUCCUAGGUAUGGCUGUUUUUAAGAGCUGGUCUUGCAGAACUAGCUGUUGUUUUGGUAAAGAGAAGCAAGAGAAACAAGUCUUAAUAUCCUAGAAGUACAUAUACUUCUCCUGGGGACUUAACAAAGACUCCAGUGUGUCCACAGACAAGAGGCAUAAACAGAACUUAGAAAACAAUAAGGAGUUUUGUAAAAGCAGGACAAAAUGUGUGAAGAUUGUUUUAAACAUUACUGGAAAGAAAAGUGCUAUUGAUCUUCCUUAUCUGAGAGCAACAUUAAAGACAUGGGUUUCUUUUUGCCACUGUGGCCUCUAAAGAGUCAACUUUCUGAGCUCCAAAAUGUGCUCCUGCACAUUUCCAGAACAUUUGUUGGAAAAAAAAAAAUCUUAAACAAGGAAUAACCUUCUGUCCAUCAAGAAAGAUUUCACAACAAUUACAGUACCAGGCACUGAGAACUCUGCCUGCCUGGCCCACAGCCACACCACGGGCGGCAAACUUUCUAACUCUCACAGACUAAUUAGGAUCAGGUCAGGUAUGUGACUGAGAGAACUCAAAGGAGGUGGAGGGUGAAGCAGGAAGUGGUGCUGAUGAUUCAACCGGGGAUCAUCUUGAAGAUAUUUCUUAAGCCUUUUUUUUUUUUUCUUCAGAUGUGAAAGUGAUCUUAUUUCUAAGAAAACAGAAAGGGACGACUCUCUGGUAGAAAAAGGAAAGUGGGAAGGACAGUUUGUGUAGGUAGUAGAGAGCAGUAGAGAGAGAGACAUUCGAUUCAUUCAUCAUAGAUUUUAGGAUGACAUCUUAUAGUCUCUAGCGGCAGAGUGGGACAGGUGACAAGAAGACAGAAACACUGUUCUCAAGGCAGUGUUUCCUUCUAGUAAGAAACUAGAGUUGCAAGGGAAAAUUUUCAGAGGACUGAGUACAUCUCAUUCCACCUCUAGGUCUUUAAGAUACGUCAGAAUGAAUGCGUAGAAUCUUACAUCUUACAUUUUGCUAGGAGAGUAGUACAGUAUCAAAAUGCAUAACCAAGAGAGGUUGUGCAUUCUUCAUCAUUGGACAUUUCCACGGCUUGGCUACACAAAGUCACUGCUGACCUGUUCAAGUCCAGGCAACAGUUCUGCUUUGAGCAGAAUGAUGGGCUAGAAAUCUCCAGAGGUCCCUUUUAACCAGCAUUUCUCUGAUACCUUGAGUCUCAUAGGGAUUGCACAGCUAAGCUGACAAGCAGUGUUUCAGACAGAUUCUGCAGAACAGAAGCCUAUGGAUGGUAACAUCUACAUACUCCAUAUCUAACAUCUACGCACUCUACAUAUACCACUUCAACCACUCCAGGCUUGGUAGAUAUUACCAUCUGUAGGCUUUCAUCCUACAGAGUCCUUUGUGUAAUGCCUCCUCUUGAUCAAAGACCGGAUGGCAGCAAUAUAACAAAAUACCGUUUAUGAAGCAGCAGUAUCUGGAACAACGAUGCUGCUCAAUUCCCUUAUGCAACCAAGGCUUCAGCAAAGAAAAUGUUAGGCUCCUGCAGUGUUCUUGUGCCACUUUUAUAGCAGCUGUGAAAGCAACAAUGCUAUCGUGCAUUACUGGUAUGCUGAGGUGUUGCUGAGAGAGAGCAAGCUUAUGGCUGAGUCGAAGGCUGCCAUACACCUUUUCUUUUUUGUAGUCUCAAGUCACAGAAUCACAGAAUCACACAGAAUCACAGAAUCACAAGGUUGGAAACGACCUGCAAGAUCAUCCAGUCCAACCACCCUCCCAUUCCUAUUAGUGCCACAAGCUACUAAACCAUCUCUCGUAGCUCCUCAUCCAGACGCCUCUUGAAUACUGCCAGGGAUGGCGACUCCACCACCUGCCUGGGCAGGCCAUUCCAGUGCCUGACCACCCUCUGAGAGAAGAAGUUUCUCCUAAUAUCCAACCUAAACCUCCUCUGGUAUAACUUCUUGCCAUUUCCUCGGGUCCUACUAUUUGCCUGGGAGAAGAGGCCAGACCCAAAGUCAAUUAUAUCUAGUGCUUCCCACAUCAAAUGGAACAGCAGAGACUGAGUUCUAGCUAAUAGUUCAGUGGGGACAAUUCUAUCUAGGCUAACAGAGCAGAAAUAUGCACAUAAGUGACAAUUCCUUCCACAACACCACGCAUGCACUCCACUCAAUCAUCAGUUUUGGGACUGUCAGUCUUCAACAUCUCUAUCAGUGGCCUAGACAGUGGGAUCCAGUGUGCCCUCAGCAAGUUCACUGAUGACAACAAGCUGAGUGUUGCAGCUGAUACGACACAAGGAAGGAACGCCCUUCACGGGGACCUGGACAAGCUUGAAAAGUGGGUCCACAAGAAAAUAAUAAAGUUCAACAAGGCCAAGUGCAGGUAUUGCCCUGGGGUCAGGGCAAUCCUAGAUAUGUGUACAAACUGAGAGAAAAACUUACUGAGAGCAGUCCUUCAGAGACAGACUUGGGGGUCCUGGUGGACAGAAAGCUGGACACGAGCCAGUAGGUGGCAACCCCCCCACAGCAGGGGGGUUGGAACUGGAGGAUCUUUAGAAUCCCUUCCAACCUAAACCAUUCUACAAUUAUACAAUGAUUCUAUGAUUUUGAUGGUUUGUUCCUGGCACACUCAUUUUCACCACCAUUCAGAGCCAGCUUGCACAGUGUUGCAACAUCCUCAUCUCUGCCAUUUCUUCAAUCAUAAUCCCAAUUUGAUAGCCAAAAAUACAUCCAUCUCCAUUUUCUUCAUAGAAAAGCCUAAACAUUUUAAUGGAAUCCUAAACAACAAAACUAUGAUGGCAGUUAAAUUGUAACCACACAAAAAGGCAGGAUGUGCACUCAAAAGGAUUCCUCAUGUUAACUCAACAGAGAGUAAAAGCUUCUCACACUCUACAAAUACAAAUAAAUAUUUUUAUCUACUUCCUAGCAAUGAUAUAUGGAUAAACUGCAUACAUACAUCUGCAAGAAACCUUUCUUCAAUACAGCUCCUAUGCAAAGGACGAGCUUCAACUACUUAUGUGCUCCAGUUCUGCUUCCUCCAAAAUUGUCCAUUCCAUAUUAAUGCCUGGCUGCCAAAACACAUUAAUUCCAUAGUUGUAUCCCUGUCAUAAGCCAUUAGUUCCACACUCUUACUACACAUAAUACAUACAUUCCACAUUCUUUUCCUUAAUAUGCAAAUCUUUCCAACCAUGGUCCCUUUUGUUCUGGUGCCUCUCAACCCACCAGCAUAUGCAGGAGAGCUCACAAACUGAUCCUCUGGGAUAUACACAAACAUGACCAGUAUGUUCUUUGUGAUUCGUAUGUGACCACAGCAGAGAUUCUGAGGUUCCCUCUCAAGCCUCAAAUUGUUUAAGAAUUGCCCAGAUUCCUGACCCCUUUCAUCUGCACUAAGUGGUUUAUGCUGGCUAUUAUGAAUCUGCUUUCAAGGCUCCUAAACAAUAACUGAUUUUGUUUACAGUAAAAAUGUUUCCACUAGCCCAAAGCACUGUUCUUAGACAACACAGAGGUGAACAACUGCAUAAUUGCCACCAUUUCCUGCUGUCAAAAAUGUCAUUAAAACCAUACUGAAUUCAUUCAAUAGGCAGCAACAUUUACAGAUAUUUCUUUCACAAAGAGCUUCUCCUUUUCACAUGAGGUCUUUAUCCCAACAGCUCCUGUCUGCCUUCAAAACCAGGAGGUGGAACCUACUUCACAGUUCUGUGGAUAUUUUGCUUGCUCCAAAAGAUAGCAGAAUUGACAAUCUCAACAAAAUUCAGGAUCUUUCACUUGCUCCAGAAAAUGCUCUUAUGUCACAAGUUUGUGGUACUCAAGGCUUGUACAAGUGAACAAGGCUGUCUUUGAUUCCCUAAGACAACAGCAGUACCUGGACACGCAGAGCUGGCAUAGCCCAUGGCGAAGCCCUAGUUUGGGGCACUGCAGAUAUUACGUGGGGUGCAAAGUCAGAGCUUCCAAUUUGGAGAGCACGAAGUACAACAUAUUUAUUCCCAGAAAUCCUCCUAUUUCCUUGUGGCAAUGGCUGGCACUGUCUCUCUUGGAACAGGAAAAUGGCUGAAGAACAGCUGAGAUCUUGGUAUUAUCAGACUGAUUUGUCACUAUUCUUAAUUUGCACAUAUGCUAUGGCGACGUGUGCAUUGCAUAUGCUUAGACUGCAGGGCUGAAUGCUCAUGUUAUAUCAAGCUGCACAUGAUUUUACAACUGGCUCUGCUCCUUGAGCAGUGGGAGCAGAUCUUGAGCACUUCUGAAAGGCAGGCUACAGCUGAGUGGCUGCAGCCGUAACUCUCCAGUGCAAUCUCUCCUCCACCCCAACCCCCUCGCUUCCUCCAUCCCUCAACAUUCUUUGCUGCUUUGUUUAUUCUGCAGAAAACAUCAGUAAAGGUGUACGACCAAGGUAAAACAUUUUGGCAAAGUUAUUUUCUGUAGCUCAGCUUAAAGGGAAAAUAUGAAGGCUGCCCCUCCUCCUCAGAAAAGGGGAAGGGUGGGGUUGAGAAAUGAGAUCUGGAAGCAGCCCAGCCAAAUAGAAGGCUGGCUGCCCCAGUAGUCCUUUUAAAGGGAAACUGAACUGUUUUUUUUGGUAGAAUGAACCAUGCUGGCAGGAGAGCAAAGGUUUUUAACAGAGAGAAACUGCAUUAAUUUUUAAAGAAACCAUUCAGAUAACUUUCAGGAAAAUCUUCAAGAAACUGGGGAUGUGUAAGGCUGAGCAUAUUUCAAGAAAAUGUGUAAAUCACACUGCAGAGAUUAUUUAAGACCAAACUGACAUACAAAUAGAAAUCUUUAACAGAGUACAAUCCCGCACUACUAGGAGAUGUACUGAACUACCCUGCAGGUCUUUUCAAGGUUUAACUUCCAUGACUGUAUAGAAUUGGGGCCCUGAAAGGGGAAACAGAAAAAGUGGGCUUACGAUUUUUGCUGAUUAACAGACUGACUUUUUGAAGCACUACGGUACUCUGUAGACCUAGAUGGUAUAGGCCACAGGUAGAGAACUGCAGAUUUCCCUGACCAGCCAUAGAUUACUACUGAAAUUCCGUAGUGGAGCAAAGAAGCUUAUGGCAGCACCUGCAAUCACAGCCGCCAUUCUUGGAUCAGCUCUGGAAGCAAGACAGAGUGACAAAGCCUUCAGUUGAGAAGUGAAGGACUUGGUAGAUCACAAGGAGGUUCCAGAUUUACUUAGAGGACUUGCAGGACAGGCACCACUUCAUUUCUCCCUGAGCUGCAGCUGCCCCUAGGUGAAGCAGCAAAGCUGCAUGCAAAACACAGGGGAGCUUAGUUUAGAAGGUGAGGAAUGGUUUGUUUACUGUUCAGCGGGAAAUCUGAACAAAAACAUCAGGAAUCACUCAAAAGCGUUGUGCUGUACUGCAGUGAUAAAUGAAAAGGUCAGCUUGGCAUUGAAGCCCAGCACUACUCCCAGUCACGCUCGGGUCAUUCCCUGCUCUCACCAUCUCAGCUGCUACGUAACCCACUGGGCAGAGGAAAGCAGAGCUGUCCUGCCCUGAGCUGAAAGACGAUGCAGGUGAGUACGCGGGAGCCAUCUGAGAGCUGCCACAAGCAGUGCCAUAGCUGAGCAGGACAGAGUGCGCUGCCUGUUUGAUCCCCCUUUGCACCAAUCUACCCCUCCUUUCAAAUCUAGAUAGGCUUCAAAUUAAUUUACAAUCUCAAGUGCUGCUAACUCAAUCAAAUUAUGAAAUAAAAGCUCAUCCUGAGGGAAGGCAGAAAUCAGCUCCUUUCUCUGUCUCACAGCUGUCCCUUCCUCCUCCCAUGUGUUCCUGAAACCUGGGACUGUUCCAAGUGCUAAAUGCACUGGAAAGCAUAUCCUCGGGCCAGCUGUGAUCUGAUCAUGGUGCGUUGGCCGCGGGUGAAUCAGAAACCAGCCGAUAGGCCCUGAAACAAUGCGGUCCCUUGUUAGGCUGCGAGAGUGGCCUUCUCCUGCAG